AACGAACGCUGGCGGCAGGCUUAACACAUGCAAGUCGAGCGCCCCGCAAGGGGAGCGGCAGACGGGUGAGUAACGCGUGGGAAUCUACCCAUCUCUACGGAAUAACGCAUGGAAACGUGUGCUAAUACCGUAUACGUCCUUCGGGAGAAAGAUUUAUCGGAGAUGGAUGAGCCCGCGUUGGAUUAGCUAGUUGGUGGGGUAAAGGUCUACCAAGGCGACGAUCCAUAGCUGGUCUGAGAGGAUGAUCAGCCACACUGGGACUGAGACACGGCCCAGACUCCUACGGGAGGCAGCAGUGGGGAAUAUUGGACAAUGGGCGCAAGCCUGAUCCAGCCAUGCCGCGUGAGUGAUGAAGGCCCUAGGGCUGUAAAGCUCUUUCACCGGUGAAGAUAAUGACGGUAACCGGAGAAGAAGCCCCGGCUAACUUCGUGCCAGCCGCCGCAGUAAGAC
rnacentral:rRNA from 1 species